rnacentral:rRNA from 1 species
GCUUACGGCCACAACGCCUGGUUCACGCCCGAUCUCGUUUGAUGUCGGAAGUUAAGAUAGGUUGGGCCUGGUUAGUACUUGGAUGGGAGACCGCCUAGGAAUACCAGGUGCUGUAAGGC